rnacentral:rRNA from 1 species
GAUGAACGCUGGCGGCGUGCCUAAUACAUGCAAGUCGAGCGAACAGACGAGGAGCUUGCUCCUCUGACGUUAGCGGCGGACGGGUGAGUAACACGUGGAUAACCUACCUAUAAGACUGGGAUAACUUCGGGAAACCGGAGCUAAUACCGGAUAAUAUAUUGAACCGCAUGGUUCAAUAGUGAAAGACGGUUUUGCUGUCACUUAUAGAUGGAUCCGCGCCGCAUUAGCUAGUUGGUAAGGUAACGGCUUACCAAGGCAACGAUGCGUAGCCGACCUGAGAGGGUGAUCGGCCACACUGGAACUGAGACACGGUCCAGACGCCUACGGGAGGCAGCAGUAGGGAAUCUUCCGCAAAGGGCGAAAGCAUGACGGAGCAACGCCGCGUGAGUGAUGAAGGUCUUCGGAUCGUAAAACUCUGUUAUUAGGGAAGAACAAAUGUGGAAGUAACUAUGCACGUCUUGACGGUACCUAAUCAGAAAGCCACGGCUAACUACGUG